ACGGAAGGCAGCAGUGGGGAAUAUUGGUCAAUGGGGGCAACCCUGAACCAGCGACGCCGCGUGAGUGAAGAAGUAUUUCGGUAUGUAAAGCUCUAUCAGCAGGGAAGAUAAUGACAGUACCUGACUAAGAAGCACCGGCUAAAUACGUGCCAGCAGCCGCGGUAAUACGUAUGGUGCAAGCGUUAUCCGGAUUUACUGGGUGUAAAGGGAGCGUAGACGGUAAAGCAAGUCUGAAGUGAAAUCCCGGGGCUCAACCCCGGAACUGCUUUGGAAACUGUUUAACUAGAGUGCAGGAGAGGUAAGCGGAAUUCCUAGUGUAGCGGUGAAAUGCGUAGAUAUUAGGAGGAACACCAGUGGCGAAGGCGGCUAACUGGACUGUAACUGACGUUGAGGCUCGAAAGCGUGGGGAGCAAACAGGAUUAGAUACCCUGGUA
rnacentral:rRNA from 1 species